GUGAGGAAUAUUGGUCAAUGGACGAGAGUCUGAACCAGCCAAGUCGCGUGAAGGAAGACGGUUCUAUGAAUUGUAAACUUCUUUUGUGCAGGAAUAAAGUGGGUUACGUGUAACCUUUUGUAUGUACUGUACGAAUAAGGAUCGGCUAACUCCGUGCCAGCAGCCGCGGUAAUACGGAGGAUCCGAGCGUUAUCCGGAUUUAUUGGGUUUAAAGGGUGCGUAGGUGGAUUGAUAAGUCAGCGGUGAAAGUUUGCAGCUUAACUGUAAAAUUGCCGUUGAAACUGUCGGUCUUGAGUGCAAAUGAGGUAGGCGGAAUGUGUUGUGUAGCGGUGAUAUGCUUAGAUAUAACACAGAACUCCGAUUGCGAAGGCAGCUUACUGGGAUGCAACUGACACUGAUGCACGAAAGCGUGGGUAUCAAACAGGAUUAGAUACCCGGGUAGUCC
rnacentral:rRNA from 1 species